rnacentral:rRNA from 1 species
UACCAGCACCCCGAGUGGUCGGGACGAUUAUUGGGCCUAAAGCAUCCGUAGCCGGUCUUGCAAGUCUUCCGUUAAAUCCAGCCGCUUAACAGAUGGGCUGCGGAAGAUACUACAAGACUAGGAGGCGGGAGAGGCAAGCGGUACUCAGUGGGUAGGGGUAAAAUCCUCUGAUCCAUUGAAGACCACCAGUGGCGAAGGCGGCUUGCCAGAACGCGCUCGACGGUGAGGGAUGAAAGCUGGGGGAGCAAACCGG